rnacentral:pre_miRNA from 1 species
AAUAUACUCCCUCCGUCCCAAAAUUCUUGUCUUAGAUUUGUCUAAAUACGGAUGUAUCAAGUCACGUUUUAGUAUUAGGUACAUCCGUAUCUAGACAAAUGUAAGACAAGAAUUUUGGGACGGAGGGAGUAGUAC